AUGAUUUUAAAGUUCUGGCCACUAAGUGUGUUGACCAGCCCCAAACACACCGCACCAAGUGGUUUCCUCAGCGUUUUCGGCGUUUCCCGCCUCCUUCUUACCGCCAUCAAUCCUUCAGGCGUCCCUCGGUAUCGAACAACCAGAACCGCCAACAACCUCGCCGAGCUGCUCAGCCGCAAAGACAACGCGGCCGAACCACCCCCACCACUGGUCAGCCUCAUCGGCGUACCUGACGCCAUCUCUCUCUCCCGGGACUCUUUCUACGGUAUCGAUGCAGUUCUCACUCCUCUGCACCCCUCUCCUCUACCAAAUCAACCUCACGGUCUCUUUUUAGACCGCCUGGCUCCCUUCUUUCACCGGUGGAAAUCUAUCACUUCAGAUGCCUGGGUUCUCAAAAUUGUUCAAGAAGGCUAUGCCUUAGAGUUCGAGGAGCUCCCGCCCACGGGACAGGUUCUUCUCUCCAACCCUUCUCGGGAAAUUCUUGCCGAAAUCGACACCCUCCUCGCCAAAGGGGCUAUUCGGCCUUCUCCAUCGGUACGGGACCCUCAAAGCUUCUUCUCCAGAUACUUCACGGUCCCGAAGAGGGGCGGGGGCCUCCGCCCCAUUCUAGACUUACGUAUGCUCAAUACCUUCAUACGUCCGACCAAGUUCAGGAUGGUGUCCAUCGCCUCCAUCCUCCCGAUGCUUCAACGCGGGGACUACUUCGUGUCUAUAGACCUACGGGACGCUUAUUUCCACGUAGCGAUUCGAGAAACCCACAGGCGCUUCCUCUGUUUCAAAGUUCUCGACCAAACCUACCAGUUCACCGUUUUACCCUUUGGCCUCGUUACGGCCCCAAGGGUCUUUACCAAGGUCGUCGCUGUCGUGGCUGCCCACCUCCGGCUCCAGGGGAUCACAGUCUUUCCUUAUCUAGAUGACUGGCUUCUGGUCGAAUCCGACCCUGCCCUCCUCCGACGUCACGUCGACUACACCCUCUCUCUUCUAGAAUCUCUCGGUCUCCAGCUAAACCCCGACAAAUCUCACCUCACUCCGUCGAACAAAAUCCGCUUCAUCGGCGCCCUGUUCGACUCAAUCUCUCAGACUGUCUCUCUCCCGCUCGACAGGUUUCUAGCCCUUCGCCAACAAAUUACCUUUUGCGAGAACCAUCGGAGGGUUCGGGCUCGGUCCAUCCAAGUAUUACUGGGCCACAUGGCCUCCACAGUCCUCAUGACCCCGUUUGCCAGGCACCAUCUUCGAACUCUGCAGAGGUGGUUUAUAGACGUUUUCAAGCCUUUUCGCCACCCCAACUCGAGGUUUCUCUCCGUCCCGCUCCACGUUCGUCGGUCGCUUCAUUGGUGGAAGUCCCUCUCCAACGUCUGCAAGGGUCUUCCGUUCCACCCGAUUCCUCCCUCGACCACCAUAACCAUGGACUCAUCCAAUUUCGGCUGGGGAGCCCACAUGAGCGGUCUUACUGUUCAAGGCCUCUGGUCUCCUUCCGAGAAGGCCAAUCACAUAAACUUUCUGGAACUCCUUGCCAUCUUCAAGGCUCUGAAAGCUUUCUCCCGCCUGAUCUCCCAAAAGUCUGUCCUCGUCCAAUCAGACAACACAGUAGCAGUCUUCUACAUCAACAAACAGGGCGGCACGGGUUCAAGGAAGCUGAUGCUUCUCUCCUCCCAGCUGUGGUACUGGUGCAUAACCCGCAACAUCCAAGUCUCGGCAAUUCACCUUCCUGGGAUCCAAAACAAUUUAGCAGAUGCCCUCAGCAGGAUGACGACCUCCUCCCACGAGUGGAUGCUCGAUCCCGAGACUCUUCUUUCUCUCUUUCACAAAUGGGGUUUUCCCACUCUGGACCUCUUCGCUUCUCCCCAGAACGCUCAGUUGCCUCGGUACGGGGCAAGACUUCCCCCGUCCUCCUUUCCAGGCUGCCUGGGAGACGCCUUCCUUCUCGACUGGUCAUCGGAACCGAUCUACCUCUUUCCGCCCUUUCCUCUCAUUCCAAAGGUUCUGCAGAAACUCCGGUCGAUACCGACGUCGGCGAUCCUGAUAGCCCCAGCCUGGCCUCGCCAACCCUGGUUCCCGGCUCUUCUUCGUCUCUCCAGAGCGACCUUCUUCACUCUGCCUCUCCUGCCACACCUCUUGUCCAGAGAGAACGGCCAGAUCCUGCACCCGGAUCUCCCCUCUCUACAUCUCACUGCUUGGAGGAUUCUCGCCUGA
rnacentral:lncRNA from 1 species